CGUAGGUGGCAAGCGUUGUCCGGAUUUAUUGGGUUUAAAGGGUGCGUAGGCGGUCCUAAUAAGUCAGUUGUGAAAUACGGCAGCUUAACUGUCGAGGUGCAAUUGAUACUGCAGGACUUGAGUACAGACGAGGUAGGCGGAAUUGACGGUGUAGCGGUGAAAUGCUUAGAUAUCGUCAAGAACAACCGAUAGCGAAGGCAAGCUUACUAGACUGUAACUGACGCUGAUGCACGAAAGUGUGGGGAUCAAACAGGAUUAGAUACCCUGGUAGUCCACACUGUAAACGAUGAUUACUCGAGUGUUGGCGAUACACAGCCAGCGUCUUAGCAAAAGCGAUAAGUAAUCCACCUGGGGAGUACGCCGGCAACGGUG
rnacentral:rRNA from 1 species